rfam:Trachymyrmex septentrionalis contig11259, whole genome shotgun sequence.
CAAUAGGCUCUUUUCAGAGCCACCUCAAUCAUUGUACAUAAGUCUGU